rnacentral:rRNA from 1 species
GACGAACGCUGGCGGCGUGCUUAACACAUGCAAGUCGAACGGAAAGGCCCUGCUUUUGUGGGGUGCUCGAGUGGCGAACGGGUGAGUAACACGUGAGUAACCUGCCCUUGACUUUGGGAUAACUUCAGGAAACUGUGGCUAAUACCGGAUAGGAGCUCCUGCUGCAUGGUGGGGGUUGGAAAGUUUCGGCGGUUGGGGAUGGACUCGCGGCUUAUCAGCUUGUUGGUGGGGUAGUGGCUUACCAAGGCUUUGUCGGGUAGCCGGCCUGAGUGGGUGACCGGCCACCUUGGGACUGAGCUACGGCCCAGACUCCUACGGGAGGCAGCAGUGGGGAAUAUUGCACAAUGGGCGGAAGCCUGAUGCAGCAACGCCGCGUGCGGGAUGACGGCCUUCGGGUUGUAAACCGCUUUCGCCUGUGACGAAGCGUGAGUGACGGUAAUGGGUAAAGAAGCACCGGCUAACUACGUG